UUUGAAUAUAAUUUAAAGUAGGGCCUCCCCACUCAUAAAAAUUGAAGGGCCGCAGUAUUUUGACUGUGCAAAGGUAGCAUAAUCAUUAGUUUUUUAAUUGAAAGCUUGUAUGAAUGGUUUGAUGAAAAAAAAACUUUCUUUAUUUUAGUUUUUAAAAAUUUUAUUUUUAAGUUAAAAAGCUUAAAUAAUUUUAAUAGACGAGAAGACCCUAUAGAGUUUAAUUUUUAAUAAUUAUUAAAUUUUUAGAAUUUUAAAAUUUAAAGUUUAAAUAAAAUUUAGUUGGGGUGAUUAUAAAAUUUAAUUAACUUUUAUUAAUUAUUAUACAUUAAUUUAUGAUUAAGUGAUCCAUAAAAAUGAUUAAAAGAGUAAAUUACCUUAGGGAUAACAGCGUUAUUUUUUUUUAGAGUUCAAAUCGAAAAAAAAGAUUGCGACCUCGAUGUUGGAUUAAAGUUGAUUUUAGGUGUAGAAGCUUAAAUAUUUGGUCUGUUCGACCAUUAAAACUUUACA
rnacentral:rRNA from 1 species